GAUGAACGCUGGUGGCGUGCUUAACACAUGCAAGUCGAGCGAGUGAGUUCUUCGGAACGAUCUAGCGGCGGACGGGUGAGUAACAUGUGGGCAACCUGCCUCAUAGAGGGGAAUAGCCUCCCGAAAGGGAGAUUAAUACCGCAUAACAUCGUUGAAGGGCAUCCUUCGAUGAUCAAAGGAGUAAUCCGCUAUGAGAUGGGCCCGCGGCGCAUUAGCUAGUUGGUGAGGUAACGGCUCACCAAGGCGACGAUGCGUAGCCGACCUGAGAGGGUGAUCGGCCACAUUGGGACUGAGACACGGCCCAGACUCCUACGGGAGGCAGCAGUGGGGAAUAUUGCACAAUGGGGGAAACCCUGAUGCAGCAACGCCGCGUGAGUGAUGACGGCCUUCGGGUUGUAAAGCUCUGUCUUUGGGGACGAUAAUGACGGUACCCAAGGAGGAAGUCACGGCUAACUACGUGCCAGCCGCCGCAGUAA
rnacentral:rRNA from 1 species